UGGGGAAUAUUGGACAAUGGACCAAAAGUCUGAUCCAGCAAUUCUGUGUGCACGAUGACGUUUUUCGGAAUGUAAAGUGCUUUCAGUUGGGAAGAAAAAAAUGACGGUACCAACAGAAGAAGUGACGGCUAAAUACGUGCCGGCAGCCGCGGUAAUACGUAUGUCACAAGCGUUAUCCGGAUUUAUUGGGCGUAAAGCGCGUCUAGGUUGUUAUGUAAGUCUGAUGUGAAAAUGCAGGGCUCAACUCUGUAUUGCGUUGGAAACUGCAUGACUAGAGUACUGGAGAGGUAAGCGGAACUACAAGUGUAGAGGUGAAAUUCGUAGAUAUUUGUAGGAAUGCCGAUGGGGAAGCCAGCUUACUGGACAGAUACUGACGCUAAAGCGCGAAAGCGUGGGUAGCAAACAGGAUUAGAUACCCUGGUAGUCCACGCCGUAAACGAUGAUUACUAGGUGUUGGGGGUCGAACCUCAGCGCCCAAGCUAACGCGAUAAGUAAUCCGCCUGGGGAGUACGUACGCAAGUAUGA
rnacentral:rRNA from 1 species